GAGUUUGAUCCUGGCUCAGGGCGAACGCUGGCGGCAGGCCUAACACAUGCAAGUCGAACGGAUCCUUCGGGAUUAGUGGCGGACGGGUGAGUAACACGUGGGAACGUGCCUUUAGGUUCGGAACAACUCAGGGAAACUUGAGCUAAUACCGGAUGUGCCCUUAGGGGGAAAGAUUUAUCGCCUUUAGAGCGGCCCGCGUCUGAUUAGCUAGUUGGUGAGGUAAAGGCUCACCAAGGCGACGAUCAGUAGCUGGUCUGAGAGGAUGACCAGCCACAUUGGGACUGAGACACGGCCCAAACUCCUACGGGAGGCAGCAGUGGGGAAUCUUGCGCAAUGGGCGAAAGCCUGACGCAGCCAUGCCGCGUGUAUGAUGAAGGUCUUAGGAUUGUAAAAUACUUUCACCGGUGAAGAUAAUGACUGUAGCUGGAGAAGAAGCCCCGGCUAACUUCGUGCCAGCAGCCGCGGUAAUACGAAGGGGGCUAGCGUUGCUCGGAAUUACUGGGCGUAAAGGGAGCGUAGGCGGACAUUUAAGUCAGGGGUGAAAUCCCAGAGCUCAACUCUGGAACUGCCUUUGAUACUGGAUGUCUUGAGUAUGAGAGAGGUAU
rnacentral:rRNA from 1 species